AACUUCGUGGGUGUGCAGCCUUGCUAGUUGAAUUGUAAAUCAACCAUUCUUCCUGUCUCUCACUUCUUCAAUGUCCUCCUCAGUGUCGGACUGUCCGCGUCGCAUUGAACUGGUCCGAUGAGGCUGCUAUUGCACACACAGUGAGGGAACUCCCAUACGGGAACUCGGAAGUACUGCUACAGUACAGGUAUAUCACCCCGUGACGACCACAUCGAAGUCUGAAAUUGAAGUGUGAAGAUGCUUCAGCAACCCCUUCAUAUUUUUCCAUUGCUUUUAUUGUGCUUCUACUGUGCAUGUGUGUAACCUGUGGGGUAUGCAUGUGAUGACAAUGUAUGCCGGUGACACGGUCAGAUUUUGUCCAUGCGUGUAACGUACACCUGCAUGCUAUCGUUGAAAAG